CUGAGUGAAUAAUCUGCAUUGUAGAAAGGAUCCACUGCCUUCUUUCUCAGCAGUGAUUUUUCCAUCUGAGUGGCUCCUGGGUAGUGAGUGCAUACAGCUCUGUUGAUGCUGGCUGGGUGUAAAUUGCCUUCAUCUGAAGACUCCUGCUUUGUGAAGUUACCUGCCUACAGCAAAGCAGGACCCUUCCAGUAGAGAAGCCUCUUUAACCAAAUACCAAACAAAUUAACCUUUUAGUACGUUCCUAGGAAUCUCUCCUGAGAAAGAACACUCCAGUGACAUCACUGAAGGCAAAGGUUAGAAUAAAAGUAAAAUGAAAUCAUCCGACCAGGCGGGCCCUGCGGGAGAAUGAGGCCUUGUAAUUAGAUUGAAGGCUCCUAGGAAACGCAGCCGUGUUGCAGGCGAAGCAUUUGCAAAGAAGCUAAUUGGGGCAAGCUUUUGCAUCAGUGCUGAAGAAGCGCCUCACUUCCAGCCUUGGAAAUAGCUGGAAUGAUGUAUUGUGAUUGAGUCAUUCCUAAUUUUAGCAACCCAGGCAGAGCAUGAAUUACAUGAUGAACAUGGACUGGAGUUUGUCCUAUCUGUGGCUUCCGACUCAUGGGAGAUCCCUUCCCCAGAUGGCCGGAUACCCGGUGUCUUCCAAGAGUGGCAGAGCUUGGGGCAGCCUCACAGAAGCGGAGGUGUUUCAGAGACCUCAGCGGAGAAGAACCUUUCCUGGCUGCCUUUCAGCGCCGGCUUCCUCCUCUACAAAUAGCGCAUUACUGUGGUAAAAGGCAGCACUUUUACAUCAGCAGUGCUGCCGUCAUCGCCCUGAAUGCCAGCCUUGGGAAUUCUGACCUUUGUGUAGCAAAGCAUGUUCUACCCUUUGGCAGUUAAUAGGCGAAGGCAGACACAACGCUUCUAACUCGCAGAAAGAUUGAGCUCUCCCUUGGAUCAGGAAUUCAAGGGACAUUUACAUCACUUAUGCUAGUGUAAGUUCUUGAUAACGGUGUUUGAAAUUGCCCGUGCCCUUUCAUCAGGAGCCUGCAAGAACAUUGCCUUUUCUGGGAGGAGCAUUAAACAUGGAAGUUUUAACUCUCCUAAGAGAGCAGAUGUCUGGUCGACCUGAUGGAUUCACCGCAAAGAGAGUCCAGGAGAAAGAAUGCCCAAGGAGGAUUGGCAGUGAGUGAGGAGGGGUAAAUGUCCUGUUAUUUGUGAGGAGAGGACGGUAAUGUAGCAAAACAGUGAUUAGUUACAUAAUUUUAACUUCUCAAUUUCUAAAUAUGGCCACACGUGAUCAAGGGCUGCAGAUAUUGGGUAUAGAGUGAAGGAUACCUUUGUAUACUGAUUCUAAUAAAGCUGGAUCUGUGAAAUGACCAUUUUUGUUAUCUUUCUUCGUAUUCUCAUUCUUGGCCUUCCCCCUCUGACAUUUAUACCAAUGACUCCACAAUCCUUUGUGGAAGAAACAGUUGCUACAUCAUGAUUUAUAUCUUCUUUGUCAUUGUAUGAAACAUUCCAUCGGAGACCCUGGAAAUUCUUUCUGACAAGUCUGAUAAAAC
rnacentral:lncRNA from 1 species